rnacentral:rRNA from 1 species
GGACGAACGCUGGCGGCGUGCUUAACACAUGCAAGUCGAACGAUGAACCGCUUUCGGGCGGGGAUUAGUGGCGAACGGGUGAGUAACACGUGGGCAAUCUGCCCUGCACUCUGGGACAAGCCCUGGAAACGGGGUCUAAUACCGGAUAUGACUGUCCAUCGCAUGGUGGAUGGUGUAAAGCUCCGGCGGUGCAGGAUGAGCCCGCGGCCUAUCAGCUUGUUGGUGAGGUAGUGGCUCACCAAGGCGACGACGGGUAGCCGGCCUGAGAGGGCGACCGGCCACACUGGGACUGAGACACGGCCCAGACUCCUACGGGAGGCAGCAGUGGGGAAUAUUGCACAAUGGGCGAAAGCCUGAUGCAGCGACGCCGCGUGAGGGAUGACGGCCUUCGGGUUGUAAACCUCUUUCAGCAGGGAAGAAGCGAAAGUGCCGGUACCUGCARAAGAA